ensembl:lncRNA
GGUGAUUAGUCAGGUGAUUGGACAGGUGAUUGGUGAUUGGUGAUUGGUGAUUGGUCAGGUGAUUGAUCAGGUGAUUGGUGAUUGGUCAGGUGAUUGAUCAGGUGAUUGGUCAGGUGAUUGGUCAGGUGAUUGGUGAUUGGUCAGGUGAUUGGUGAUUGGUCAGGUGAUUGGUGAUUGAUUGGUCAGGUGAUUGAUCAGGUGAUUGGUGAUUGGUGAUUGGUGAUUGGUCAGGUGAUUGGUCAGGUGAUUGGUGAUUGGUCAGGUGAUUGGUCUCACACUAACCCACACACCUGAAGACUCACACAGCUUUGAGUUUGGGCUUUGAAACUGAUCCUGGUCCUGCCUACUGAUCCAACUCAGUGAGCAGAGACAAACUGGAUCAGAACAUCAGAACAUCACAGUGUCUCAGUGAGCACAGAGGCAAAGUGGAUCAGAACAUCACACACAAGCUAAUCUAAAGAGAAUAAUCUAAAGUGAAUAAUCUAAAGUGAAUAAUCUAAAGAGAAUAAUCUAAAGUGAAU